rnacentral:rRNA from 1 species
CAGUCGCCGCGGUAAUACGUAGGGUGCGAGCGUUAAUCGGAAUUACUGGGCGUAAAGCGUGCGCAGGCGGUUGUGUAAGACAGGUGUGAAAUCCCCGGGCUUAACCUGGGAACUGCGCUUGUGACUGCACAGCUAGAGUAUGGCAGAGGGGGGUGGAAUUCCACGUGUAGCAGUGAAAUGCGUAGAGAUGUGGAGGAACACCGAUGGCGAAGGCAGCCCCCUGGGCCAAUACUGACGCUCAUGCACGAAAGCGUGGGGUGCAAACAGGAUUAGAUACCCCGUAGUCCCUGUCUCUUAUACA